AACGAACGCUGGCGGCAGGCCUCAAACAUGCAAGUCGUAGGGGGGUGUAGCAAUACAUCACCGGCGGGACGGGUGCGUAACACGUGGGAAUAUACCUUUCGGUACGGAACAACUGCGGGAAACUGCAGCUAAUACCGUAUACGUCCUAGCGGAGAAAGAUUUAUCGCCGAAGGAUUAGCCCGCGUUCGAUUAGCUAGUUGGUGGGGUAAUGGCCCACCAAGGCGACGAUCGAUAGCUGUUCUGAGAGGAAGAUCAGCCACACU
rnacentral:rRNA from 1 species